rnacentral:sRNA from 1 species
CCCGCAGCUCCAGCCCGGCGGCGAUGGCGCGGAGCGUGCGCGUGCUCGUGGACAUGGACGGCGUCCUCACCGACUUCGAGGCCGGCCUUCUGCGGGGCUUCCGCCGCCGCUUCCCUGAGGAGCCGCACGUGCCGCUGGAGCAGCGCCGCGGCUUCCUGGCCCGCGAGCAGUACCGCGCCCUGCGGCCCGACCUGGCAGAUAAAGUGGCCAGUGUGUACGAAGCCCCGGGCUUUUUCCUGGACCUGGAGCCCAUCCCGGGAGCCUUGGACGCUGUGCGGGAGAUGAACGACCUACCGGAGUAAGGAGAGUGGGGGCAGGCGGAGUCCUGGGCGGGCUCCUGGCUCCCGGCGGUAACCACGUCCUUCUCCGCAGCACGGAGGUCUUCAUCUGCACCAGCCCCCUGCUGAAGUACGACCACUGUGUGGGUGAGAAGGUGUGGCUGCCCCGCCCCUACUCCGCAUUUGGAGCUGCCUAAAUCCUGAUUUUAAAAAGAAACCACCAGAAACCCAGAAGUACCGCUGGGUGGAGCAGCACUUGGGGCCCCAGUUCGUAGAACGAAUUAUCCUGACAAGGGACAAGACGGUGGUCUUGGGGGACCUGCUCAUUGACGACAAGGACACAAUUCGAGGCCAGGAGGAGACCCCAAGCUGGGAGCACAUCUUGUUCACCUGCUGCCACAAUCGGCACCUGGUCCUGCCCCCGACAAGGAGACGGCUGCUCUCCUG